AUGACUCGAUUGUCGUCAGCUUCGUCUUGUGAUAAGACCUUGAUAACUUGUUUUGUUCACAGACACACCGCUAGAUAGCGCCAUUAUACGCUCGAGGCAAGUCGUACGAUUAGAGAGGAGAGGAAAAGCGCAAUUUUCCCAAGUUCGUCCAUUGAGGAUUGACUGGAUAAGCCUGCAGAAGAAGAUGAAAGGAAUCAUCAAUGCAGAAGAAAUUGUCAGUGACAGUUACUCAACGUCAGCACGAAAACGGAUGAACUACUUUCCAAAUUUAUUCACAAUAUAAACUUGAGGCCAAAUGAAAAUCUCCUUAAAUGGUAGAAAUUAAUUAAACUUAAAUUUAGUAAAUACAAUAUUACAUUUGUAAAAUUUUGUCAAUAGAUCAAACAACAAUUAAAAUAUGAAAAAAUCGAUUAUAUAAGUAUUGAAAUAAAUAAUGUGUUUAUGUAUUAUCAUUUAAAAAUAAAGAACCACGACGAAGAACACUUGGAAGUAGUGGGAGCUGCAAAAUUU